rnacentral:lncRNA from 1 species
AAAUUGGGCAAAGGGGAACUUACAGAGAAAUUUAUGCGUUUCAAUGUAUAUACACCCAUAAUGACAACUUGUUAUUUCUUGUGCAUUGUUUUGGAAUGAGGCAGACUAGUUCUCUUUCAAAUAAUUUAUCCUUUCUUGUACUAAAAUGACUCCUGAAGCUGGUCAGGAACUGCUUUUGUAGAUAGCUUUAGUAGAGUUAUUUUAAGGUCUUAUUAUCUCUGCUGAGUGGGAAGUUAAAAGCUGAAAGAUCCCUUUCUGUAGGAAAAAGGCUGCACACUAACAGUUGUUUUUCUCAUUUACAGUUGUACAUGUGCUGAGUGUUGUUGACUUGUUAAUGUGGUGUUGCCUUCAAAGACAAGCUGUAAACUGACACGGAGAAUUUAUCACUGGGCAGAUUGACUCAGACAUCCCAUCCAUUCACAAAGCUUGCAUAUGACAAUGGAAGGAAGUUGUCUUGGGAAGGAGGAGAAUCUCAGCCACCUACAAGACAGGGAUGGAUGCACAACACGGAUAAGGUUCAGUGUCAGAAAGUUAGAUCCUAUUGCAUUUGGCUAUUCAGAUCCUCCUUCAAGUGUACGCCAAUGUGAGUGUGGUACAAUGAGUGAAAAUUGAAGAAGGGAACGUACCUCUUUUGCUUGGUUCUCAGCCAGAGCAUGAAGUCAUCUGUGCACAAGUGAAGCAAGGAACACAAGAAAAGGAUGAACUAUGGGAUUCUGGUAGGGCCAAUUAAUUCUUAGGACACUCUUUAUUUCCUUCUUUUCUAAUGAGAAA